CUCCAGCUUCUCGUGUUCCUCCUUCCUGAUAUUGCUGUCAUUGGGAACCGCUACAUCGAUCACUACGGCCGUCUUCUUCUGUUUGUCUACCACCACUAUGUCCGGUUGGUUAGCCACCACCAUCUUGUCCGUCUGUAUCUGGAAGUCCCACAGGAUCUUAGCUCGGUCAUUCUCCACCACCCUUGGGGGCAUCUCCCAUUUUGACCUCGGGACUUCCAGGUUAUACUCGGCACAGAUGUUCCUGUACACUAUGCCGGCCACUUGGUUAUGGCGUUCCAUGUAAGCCUUGCCUGCUAGCAUCUUGCACCCUGCUGUUAUGUGCUGGAUUGUCUCUGGGGCAUCUUUACACAGCCUGCACCUGGGGUCUUGCCUGGUGUGAUAGACCCCAGCCUCUAUGGAUCUUGUACUCAGAGCUUGUUCCUGUGCUGCCAUGAUUAGUGCCUCCGUUAUAAAGAUAUAUAUAUAUAUAUAUAUAUAUAUAUAUAUAUAUAUAUAUAUAUAUAUAUAUAUAUAUAUAUAUAUGUUAGGUUUUGUAUUGUUGAUUGUCAUUUAUGCUUAGAAAUAUUUAACCAUAUAUGCUUAGAGGUGUACAAUCAAUUGUGUAGUGAUAGGACUGUGGUCUUUAGCAGACUACAGAGGCUUGGGAAUGCACACCCACAUCCUAGGAGCAUAAGAGAGGUCCUAUCUUCUCUUUGUUGAUAUAUGGUAUAGCAAACACACGUAUAUCUCUUUAAGCAUAAGAGCCCUUUGUUCAGAUGGACCCGCUAGACUCCUGGCACACACACACACACACACACACACACACAGGCAAAGUACUCUUUGUGUGUAUGUAGACGUCAUAUGUUAAUGAACCUAUGCAUAUUCAUGUAACCACAAUAAAAGAGCAGUGUUACGGGAGAACGGAGAGAGCAACUGGGGUCAAGCGAAGGAACGGCGUUUGUCCGGUCUCUCCCGUGCACGAGUAACAUGAAGAACUUUGCCUACUUCGUGUCUUGCUUGCUGUGUAAUUAUAUUGUCUUUAACGUUCCAGCGAAUAGGUAUAAGCUACAAACCUAUCAUUAAUUGGUCCUUCGAUGCAGGAUCCCUGGAGUCGACAUUCACCGAGGGGAGGAGAGGCACGUUGAAAGACUGACGUCAGCCAGGAAGUUCCUGUGGAUUAACUGUCUGUCUUUUCUCCUCGAUGAAUGACGAUCGGCGGGAUUCGAGGCUGUUCAAUAUAUAUAUAUAUAUAUAUAUUUUGUGUGUGUGUGUGUUUGUUGUUACUCUAAUAGGUUCUUUGGUCUGGUAUGACUGAGAUGCAGGAUGUUGAUCAUGGUCCAGAUCCCUACUCAGUCCUUUCAACAGGUGCUCUUAGCCAGUACCCCGAGCAAUCACUCUCUGAACCGCUGUCAGAGUUAUCUCACAUGUCUGUUUGUCUUUGUGCAACUGUAGAUCUUUCCAUCCUUCGUCUGUUGCGUGUUGUCUUUCCAAUCACAGGCUUUGCCUGGGGGGGAGUGACUUGAACAGGAACUGGGACGAAGGAAGCACUUGGAGGAGAGACGGGCACUCAUUACCACGCACGGUCUGAGCACGGGAAGGAGGACGCACCAACUAUUAUUAUUGCACAUUCUAGCUAUUGCCAAC
ensembl:lncRNA